AAAGAAGUUUAAAAAAGGACGGCGUAAAGCUGUCGCUAAAGGAUGGACCUGCGAUGCAUUAGCUAGUUGGUAAGGUAACGGCUUACCAAGGCGAUGAUGCAUAGCCGAGUUGAGAGACUGAUCGGCCACAUUGGGACUGAGACACGGCCCAAACUCCUACGGGAGGCAGCAGUAGGGAAUUUUCCACAAUGGACGCAAGUCUGAUGGAGCAACGCUGCGUGAGUGAAGAAGGUUUUCGGAUCGUAAAGCUCUGUUGUUGGUGAAGAAGGAUAGAGGUAGUAACUGGCCUUUAUUUGACGGUAAUCAACCAGAAAGUCACGGCUAACUACGUGCCAGCAGCCGCGGUAAAU
rnacentral:rRNA from 1 species